CCGUAUUAAGAAGGGGAUGGACUUAUCCUCUACUGCGAGAGUUACCUAGAGCAUCUGUGACGGUCCUGUAGGCUUCCGAGGCGAUCGGGCAGUGUCAGUCUUCAGCUGCUAAGCCGAGAAGAUCUGGGAAGGAGUCAGUCAGAGAGCCUUGGGCCAGAGUUCCAGGGGCUCUGGAACUGGCUGCCAGAAGUGCAGUUUGGAGAGGAAAGAAGCCGUAUCUCAGUCCUUUCACCAAUAGCUGAUGUAAUCUCAAGAGAGUUGCAUUUCCCACAGUGGAGACUUCACACAUCACAGCUAAAUCCUCCAAGACGACUCGGCUGUGGAAUCCUAAUGAAGAAUGCAAUAGGUUGCUUAUGAGCAGGAGCUCAUGCAAUUCCUCUCCAGAGGUGGAAGGCCGAGAACCCUGCUUGGGCCGUGGUGGGUGGCGUGAGGAGCUCACAGCGGAGCCUUAGGAGGCCAUUCUGUGUGGAUUUGUAUCACCGCCCUUUUCAUCAAUGACUCCAAGAAGGAGCUGCAAGUACCACAGGCUUCCAGAUCUUCAGACCCUCAAGCAAUCUCUUUCCUGCCCUGAGGCCUUUGCACAGCUGCUCCCUCUGCCCGUGAGUCCCAACCUUCCUCCUGUCUGGGCAUUCUUCCCACCCUUCAGAGAUCAGCUGAAGCAUCUCCUGGCAGAGAAGCUGUUUUAAGGGGACCAAGGAUUUGUUUCCUCAGGUCUGGUGAGACUCAUGAGCAUGGGACUGACUGUCAUGAAGGAGGAAGUUUAUAUGCGCAGGUCCCUAGAAACAGGAGGCCCGGCACGCCACUCAGAGCCGCACGGGGAGGCGCCACGUGGGUCAGGAGGCAGAGGGGGAGUGAGGGAGCGGUGGGCAAGAGCCUUUGCUGUGAUUUCCGUGGGAAGGAAGGAGUGGGGCAGGGUAAGUGGGCUGAGGAUGGGCUAGUUUGGAUCAUCUAAAGGCUGUAGGGCACAGGGACUCUCCCUAGUUGUCUGGUACCUGGGGUGAUUAGGGCAGGAGAGAGUGGUCCAGAAUAUGACAGCACCAUACAGGAGGUGGUUGGGGUGUUGGCUCUGGAUGGGUUGGUUUGCAUUUGAAAGGCUUGUUCACUUGCAGGCGAAUUGUUUACUCUCUCUAGGAAUUGACUCACCCUGGGAGGGGUAGUCCCUCCAGGAUCAGCAAGACCCCAGAGCAAAUGCAUCAGAAGUAUCACAAAUAAAGGGCGUGCUUAGUCCAGAGACCUUCCCAUAAGCACUCCAUGUCUCUAUAAUGUUUAUCAUAUUUCCUCUCUCUCCUCUAGUUUUGUCAGUUUCCUACACUAGAACACAAGGUCUGGGGGAAGGGGCCACAUGUGUGUUUACUAAUGCAUUCUGUGUCUAACUGCUGUCUGGAACUUAGUAGAUGCCAUUUUUUCUUUUUUUUCUGUGAGAUGGAGUCUCACUCUGUGGCCCAGGCUGGAGCGCAGUGGCGCGAUCUCAGCUCACUGCAAGCUCCGUCUCCUGGGUUCACGCCAUUCUCCUGCCUCAGCCUCCUGAGUAGCUGGGGCUACAGGUGCCCGCCACCGCACCCGG
rnacentral:lncRNA from 10 species